GCCUGAUUGGCUCAGUCAGAAGAGUGUGGGACUCUUGAUCUCGGGGUUAUGAGUUCAAGCCCCACAUUGGGUG
rnacentral:tRNA from 1 species